rnacentral:rRNA from 1 species
UUAGAGUUUGAUCCUGGCUCAGGAUGAACGCUAGCGGCAGGCUUAAUACAUGCAAGUCGAGGGGCAACAGGGGUAGCAAUACCUGCUGGCGACCGGCAAACGGGUGCGGAACACGUACAGAACCUUCCUUUAAGCGGGGAAUAGCCCGGAGAAAUCCGGAUUAAUACCCCAUAGUAAUAUUUGGUGGCAUCACUUGAAUAUUUAAAGAUUUAUCACUUAAAGAUGGCUGUGCGUCUGAUUAGGUAGUUGGUGCGGGUAACGGCCCACCAAGCCAUCGAUCAGUAACUGGUGUGAGAGCACGACCAGUCACACGGGCACUGAGACACGGGCCCGACUCCUACGGGAGGCAGCAGUAAGGAAUAUUGGUCAAUGGACGCAAGUCUGAACCAGCCAUGCCGCGUGAAGGAUGAAGGCCCUCUGGGUUGUAAACUUCUUUUAUCUGGGGAGAAACCACUUUUUUAUAAAGGUGUUGACGGUACCAGAGGAAUAAGCACCGGCUAACUCCGUGCCAGCAGCCGCGGUAAUACGGAGGGUGCAAGCGUUAUCCGGAUUCACUGGGUUUAAAGGGUGCGUAGGGUGGGAAUGUAAGUCAGUGGUGAAAUCUCCGUGCUUAACAUGGAAACUGCCAUUGAUACUAUAUUUCUUGAAUCUUCCGGAGGUCAGCGGAAUAUGUCAUGUAGCGGUGAAAUGCUUAGAUAUGACAUAGAACACCAAUUGCGA